UGGGGAAUAUUGGACAAUGGGCGAAAGCCUGAUCCAGCCGUGCCGCGUGUGUGAAGAAGGUCUUCGGAUUGUAAAGCACUUUAAGUUGGGAGGAAGGGCAUUAACCUAAUACGUUAGUGUUUUGACGUUACCGACAGAAUAAGCACCGGCUAACUCUGGGCCAGCAGCCGCGGUAAUACAGAGGGUGCAAGCGUUAAUCGGAAUUACUGGGCGUAAAGCGCGCGUAGGUGGUUUGUUAAGUUGGAUGUGAAAUCCCCGGGCUCAACCUGGGAACUGCAUUCAAAACUGACUGACUAGAGUAUGGUAGAGGGUGGUGGAAUUUCCUGUGUAGCGGUGAAAUGCGUAGAUAUAGGAAGGAACACCAGUGGCGAAGGCGACCACCUGGACUAAUACUGACACUGAGGUGCGAAAGCGUGGGGAGCAAACA
rnacentral:rRNA from 1 species